rnacentral:tRNA from 1 species
GACGGAAUAGUUCAAUUGGUUAGAACAUCAGGUUCAUGGUCUGAAUGCUAAGGGUUCAAGUCCCUUUUCCGUUA